UAUGGACUGGAUACUCUGGUCAUUAUUCAUAGAUUUUAUGAUAAACAGCUUUUUCAAAUGAAAUCUGGAGUCGUGAAAAGAUCAAUAUAAUGCAUUUCAUACAUGCAGGAGGGAUCAAUUGCAAAUAACGUUACUUGGACUGGACCAGACUAUGUAGCUAAUUUAGCUAGCCUAGCUAAAUUACCGGCGUUAGCAACUACCUGCUUCACCCUGGUAGCGUUAGGCUAGCUAAAAUGAUAACUGGUGGUUUGUACCUGACGCGAUAUUAGCGCAACACAUUUGUAUUUACUCAAGGCGCUUGAUAGCUAGCUAACGUUAAGUGGUACAGAAAUAGCCUAAAUCAGCUAGCUUCAUUUGCAAGCUAAAAUGACAUGAACAUAUCUUGGGAUGACUCAUCUUUUACCCGACUGAUGUUAAAUGCAACUUUGUUAAUGUUUCCGUUAGUAAAACAUUGAGUAGCUGCAUGCAUGUAAGUGUGGUAUAUGCGUGAAGUAUCCUUGUCCAUGCUUGCCUAUGUAUCUAGCUAAGCUAAUUAGUUCACUUUAGGUAGGGACCCAAGAUGGGUUUUGAUUUGUCAAAAGAAGAUGCUGACGCAUGGUAUGUGUAUCAUCCUUUUAUGGCUUUUCUGGAAUAAUAUUAUCAACAAUGGCAUUUGUUUGCUGACACUGGCUACAUAGGAAACGACAAGAUAUGGAUCCGCGGUUAAAAGGGAUAAUAUUCCAUUACUAGUGUCUAGUUAUCGUUCUCUGUUUUCCCGAGAUUGUCUGCAUAACUAGCUAAUCGAUUGCUAGCUGGAUGACGAAGACACCCAUUCUAUGUGGAUGAGACAUUUAAAUUGACGUUAUUGCUUGGCUAUCUACCUAUAUGCCAUCGCCCCAACAACCCAUUUUUUUAUCUGGUCAACCAUGGCGGUUAGCGGGGUGAGUCUCCUUUCUCAAGCCGGGGACGUGGCUGCUCCGGCCGCUAUGUCCUCUUCCAAUACGUCAGUGUCCGCCAGUCCCACGCCAGAUGCGGACACCCGUGGCUGCGAGAACGGUGCCUUGAUGGACUCUUUCGGCAUCUUCCUGCAAGGCCUGCUAGCGAUGGUGGCCUUCAGUACGCUGAUGUUAAAGCGCUUCAGGGAGCCCAAGCAUGAGAGAAGGCCCUGGAGGAUCUGGUUCCUGGACACCUCCAAACAAGCCAUUGGGAUGCUGUUUAUUCACUUUGCCAAUGUCUACCUGUCUGACCUCACAGAGGAGGACCCCUGUUCACUUUACCUUAUAAACUUCCUCCUGGAUGCGUCUCUGGGCAUGCUGCUUAUCUAUGCCGGGGUGAGGACUGUCAGUGCCAUUGUAGAGUGGAGGCAGUGGGAUGCUCUACGCUUCGGAGAAUACGGAGAGCCUGUGCAGUGCACUGCAUGGGCGGGCCAGUGUGCUCUCUACAUCCUCAUCAUGAUGUUUGAGAAGGUCCUCAUCAUCCUGGUCCUACUCAUCCCGCAGUGGAAGAAGCUGGCUCUCCUGAACCCCAUAAACAAUCCUCAGUUGGAGCUGGCCAUCGUCAUGCUCAUCGUCCCAUUCUUCGUUAAUGCCCUGAUGUUUUGGGUGGUAGAUAACUUCCUGAUGAAGAAGGGGAGGACAAAAGCCAAGCUGGAGGAGCGGGAGGUGGGGGAGGAUGUGCGGGGCAACCGUAAGGUGCGCUACAGACGGGCACUCUCCCACGACGACUCAGAGUCUGAGAUCCUGUUCUCGGCUGACGAUGAGAUGGACGACUCGGAGGAGGAGGAUGUGCGCCGGCUCACCGGCCUCAAAACGGUCAAGAAAAAGAAGCACCGCCCCCCUGCCCUGACUGGAGCCUCCUGGGAACAUAUCGUCUAGAUUCCUCUUAACAGCAGGCUAGCAUUGGUCUCUUUGUGAGUAGGGCGCCUCUGUAGGGAGGUGGGAUCAUGGAGAACUGCAGAUCAUGGGGACUAUUGGACUGCCUUUACUACACAUUUGCAUGGGACUCCUGCAGCCUCUACACUGGGAAUAGAAACACUCGGGAAAGUAUUUUGCUGCAGCUAAACCACGUCUGAGAUUCCACCAUAGAUCUAUCACUUAUGGUGGUGACACUCAUUGAAGAAAUUAAUUGUUAUGAUUGUGGAAAACCGUUAACACUGGUGUAUUUUGGGACUGGGUGACGCAUUAUAAUUGCUAGCACCCCUUCACUGUGGUUCCACACGGACUCUUAAGAGGCCACGGAUAAUAUUAACUGCAUCAGGUUAAGCUGUGAAUGGUUGUUACUUUUUCUGUGGUUUAACAGAUGACCCCUGUUGGAUGUAGAGGGAGAGAACAGGCACCUGGGAUUGCACUCGGUAUUUCCCUUGCCUUCCUUGCAAACCUCUGUCAUUUUAACAUUUUAAUACAUUUGAUACUUAUCUUCCGAAUCUAAUAGUGAUUGUAUUCCUCAUUUAGAUUCCGUAUAUAAAAUGUAUGUCUCUUCCUCAGCUAGGCUGACUGCAAUGGCCUGUUAUAAGAGUUGGUGGAGGUGUGCGUCUGUCUGUGUGAACUUCUCAUUCAUGCAUGUGCGGGAAGUUUAGGAUGAUGCUCCUAUGGAGGCUUUGCUCUGUAAACAUGCAGUGUUUUAUAAUAACACUCACAUUUCUAACUCCUAAGCCUAUAUCAUGACUGCAGAGGGAGGACGGGUCAGGACAGUGCAGCUUGGCUCUGUGUGUCUCAACCAUGCACCACCCAACCUUAACCUAAGGGACUGAGACCCCUAUCCCACUGACGGUACAGCCAGGCUUUUAGGUCUGCAGGCCUGGAUCGGGCCCCUUCUCUCCUGUGUGUGUGUGUGUGUGUGUGUAUGACUUAGCUAGGAUCUCUUCUGUUCUCUUCUGUUACCUCUUUAUUCCUAGUCUUUGGUGUGUCCUGUUUAUUUUUUUUACAGUAAGUUAUUUUGGACUAAAACCAUGAGACUGAACCUAUACCAUGUGUUCUUAAUUCAGAGACGGAAUAGAUAUGAGACCUGAGGGUGUGUCCUCACAACCAAUGUUCAAACUCUCUGCUCUUGCCCCCAUCACUGGUCUAAGGAUGUUCUUUGUUUGUUUUGUGUUUUUGUAUUUGUUUUGUUCAUUCCUUGUUUUCGACAAUGUGCCUGUGUGAAUUUACCGUGUUUGUGCAUGUUCAUCUUGUGCCUCAGAUCUUCAGACUUGCAGUAGCAUUCAGUUGGUUUGGCUCAGAUGUUGAGAACUUGACAGAAGCACAGACCUCUAGACUGGGAGUGACUUUUGGGCCGGUGUACAACCUACAGUACAGUGGAGAGCAGUGCGGGUCUAGGUGUUGAAUCGGUCUCGCUUUAGGUGACAAGGAACACAACACCGAGUGUCUGUCUUAAUGCUUCUGUAAGUAAGGAGUGGUGAUACAGUAAAUGUGGUGAUGAUGAACUGUUUGUGUUGGCUGAGGCAAAGGAAUAACUGACUGUGGGGUUUGGUAAACGGUGGUGCAGGUUGUCCUCCGUUCAACAGAGGGAUUUUAUUGUAAAAACUCAAAUGACUGGCAAAUGAUUAACUUACAUUACCGUUAAAAAUGAUUUUACAAUAAAGUUUGUAAAACACUGAAAUAACAGAUUUUGUCUCUGAAAAGAGAGCGCUUUCUGUAGGGUUUAAAAAACAUGUGUUCCCUGACCGGGAAUCGAACCCGGGCCGCGGCGGUGAGAGCGCCGAAUCCUAACCACUAGACCACCAGGGAUCUGCCAGAGCAUAGAAGGAUUUGUAGUAAUAAGUCUCUUGGAAUGGAGGAGGUGGACAAUGAGAGUUAUAAGACAGGGGAAGGAGUCUCUGAGAUCAUAGGUCUUCAUAAUACUCUAGACUGCCAACUGGGUACACAUUUUCACAAUGACAGAGUGGGCCCUCAGUAAACUGUAACAGGUGCAGUGAGACGUACACCACUGAGUGAGGACCUAUUUCUUCCCAUAGAGUAGACUGACUCCGAGAGUAAUGUCUCAGUACCCACAAAUAGACCCCUCACUACACACAGAGUUUUCUAGCAUUUAAAAUGACUCAAACUAUUAUUGACACACAAGCCUGGCUCUCAAACACUUUUUGCAUUCUGUCCUGACUCGCUUGCCAUUUGACUGCACACAGGCGUAUGUUGACAGGCAAGCGUUGGCUUUUCUCCCAAACAGAAAGGUUGACUCGCUAGUCUCCCUGUGAUAUGUAUGGUCUUGCCCCCUCUCGGAGUCAAGUCGAAAUUGUAUGACCAAGUGUUGUCUGCAAAAUCUCUACACCUUUUAGUACUUUUGACCUCCGGUUUAAUGUGAUGGAAGAAGAACUCUGCCUGUAGACUAGCAGUUAGAGAGUAACCGGAAGGUCGCUGGUUUGAAUAGUUGAGCUAACAAUGAGUGAAAAAUAUGCCAAUGUGCCUUUGAGCAGGGCACUUAACCCUAAUUUGCUCCAGGGGUGCCAUACUAUGACUGACCCUGUAAAACACAUUUUACUGCACCAGUCUGGUGUAUGUGAUGACAAAAAAACAUUUUUUUUUUUUUUUUGUGCAGUUGGGUGUAGGCCUGUUACUUUAUGUCAUGUUGAAUCUAUCUAAUGUGUUUUGCCAGUUGAGCUGAAGUGCAUUCAAUGAGGCCCAAAAGGACAUUCCCUGACUGGGAAUCAAACCCAGGCCACAGUGGUGAGAGUGCUGAAUCUUGACUACUAGGGACUAGCGUGGCUUCCCAUAGUUAUUUCUGUUCCUUGGAAUCACUCCCAGCAGAAUGUUGUGGGGAAAGGGCUAUUUGUU